rnacentral:rRNA from 1 species
GACAGAGGGUGCAAACGUUGUUCGGAAUUAUUGGGCGUAAAGCGCGUGUAGGCGGCCAUGUAGGUCCGUUGUGAAAACUCGAGGCUCAACCUCGAGACGCCGAUGGAAACCAUCUGGCUAGAGUCCGGAAGAGGAGAGUGGAAUUCCUGGUGUAGCGGUGAAAUGCGCAGAUAUCAGGAAGAACACCCGUGGCGAAGGCGGCUCUCUGGGACGGUACUGACGCUGAGACGCGAAAGCGUGGGGAGCGAACAGG